GCUAGAGUAGGUGAGAGGGAAGUAGAAUUCCAGGUGUAGCGGUGAAAUGCGUAGAGAUCUGGAGGAAUACCGAUGGCGAAGGCAGCUUCCUGGCAUCAUACUGACACUGAGGCUCGAAAGCGUGGGUAGCAAACAGGAUUAGAUACCNUGGUAGUCCACGCCGUAAACGAUGUCUACUAGUCGUUGGGGAACNUGAUUCCUUAGUGACGCAGCUAACGCAAUAAGUAGACCGCCUGGGGAGUACGGCCGCAAGGUUAAAACUCAAAUGAAUUGNCGGGGGCCCGCACNAGCGGUGGAGCAUGUGGUUUANUUNGAUGCAACGCGAAGAACCUUACCUGGUCUUGACAUAUCUAGAAUCCUGCAGAGAUGCGGGAGUGCCUUCGGGAAUUAGAAUACAGGUGCUGCAUGGCUGUCGUCAGCUNGUGUCNUGAGAUGUUGGGUUAAGUCCCGCAACGAGCGCAACCCUUGUCCUUAGUUACCAGCGGGUUAAGCCGGGAACUCUAAGGAUACUGCCAGUGACAAACUGGAGGAAGGCGGGGACGACGUCAAGUCAUCAUGGCCCUUACGACCAGGGCUACACACNUGCUACAAUGGUAG
rnacentral:rRNA from 1 species